UACGGGGGGGGGUAAGCGUUGUUCGGAAUUACUGGGCGUAAAGGGCUCGUAGGCGGCCAACUAAGUCAUACGUGAAAUCCCUCAGCUUAACUGGGGAACUGCGUGUGAUACUGGAUGGCUUGGAUUUGGGAGAGGGAUGCGGAAUUCCAGGUGUAGCGGUGAAAUGCGUAGAUAUCUGGAGGAACACCGGUGGCGAAGGCGGCAUCCUGGACCA
rnacentral:rRNA from 1 species